AGGGCACCACCAGGAGUGGAGCCUGCGGCUUAAUUUGACUCAACACGGGGAAACUUACCCGGCCUGGACACUGGAAGGAUUGACAGAUUGAGAGCUCUUUCUUGAUUCAGUGGGUGGUGGUGCAUGGCCGUUCUUAGUUGGUGGAGCGAUUUGUCUGGUUAAUUCCGAUAACGAACGAGACUCUAGCCUAUUAAAUAGGCUCUCGGCUUUUAAACGCCGGGAGGACUUCUUAGAGGGACAGGUGGCGGUUCAGCCGCACGAAAGAGAGCAAUAACAGGUCUGUGAUGCCCUUUGUUGUCCGGGGCCGCACGCGCGCUACACUGAAGAGAUCAGCGUGCUUUACGUUCCUGCUCCGACCGGAGUGGGGAACCCAGUGAACCUUCUUCGUGAUUGGGAUAGAAGAUUGUAAUUAUUCUUCUUGAACGAGGAAUUCCCAGUAAAUGCGAGCCAUAAGCUCGCGUUGAUUACGUCCCUGCCCUUUGUACACACCGCCCGUCGCUACUACCGAUUGAACGAUUU
rnacentral:rRNA from 1 species